rnacentral:tRNA from 1 species
CCUUCGAUAGCUCAGCUGGUAGAGCGGAGGACUGUAGGGUCUAGAUCUAUAGGCAUCCUUAGGUCGCUGGUUCGAUUCCGGCUCGAAGGA